rnacentral:rRNA from 1 species
AGUCGAACGAACUCUGGUAUUGAUUGGUGCUUGCAUCAUGAUUUACAUUUGAGUGAGUGGCGAACUGGUGAGAAACACGUGGGAAACCUGCCCAGAAGCGGGGGAUAACACCUGGAAACAGAUGCUUAUACCGCAUAACAACUUGGACCGCAUGGUCCGAGUUUGAAAGAUGGCUUCGGCUAUCACUUUUGGAUGGUCCCGCGGCGUAUUAGCUAGAUGGUGGGGUAACGGCUCACCAUGGCUAUGAUCCAUAGCCCACCUGAGAGGGNAAUCCUCCACAUUGUCACUGAG